UACGGGGGGGCAAGCGGUUGUUCGGAAUUACGUGGGCGUAAAGGGCUCGGUAGGCGGCCAACUAAGUCGGAUGUGAAAUCCCAGGCCUUAACCUGGGAACUGCAUCCGAUACUGGAUGGCUUGAAUCCGGGAGAGGGAUGCAGAAUUCCAGGUGUAGCGGUGAAAUGCGUAGAUAUCUGGAGGAAUACCGGUGGCGAAGGCGACUUCCUGGCCCGAUACUGACACUGAGGCGCGAAAGCGUGGGAGCAACAGG
rnacentral:rRNA from 1 species